GACGAACGCUGGCGGCGUGCUUAACACAUGCAAGUCGAACGGAAAGGCCCUGCUUUUGUGGGGUGCUCGAGUGGCGAACGGGUGAGUAACACGUGAGUAACCUGCCCUUGACUUUGGGAUAACUUCAGGAAACUGGGGCUAAUACCGGAUAGGAGCUCCUGCUGCAUGGUGGGGGUUGGAAAGUUUCGGCGGUUGGGGAUGGACUCGCGGCUUAUCAGCUUGUUGGUGGGGUAGUGGCUUACCAAGGCUUUGACGGGUAGUCGGCCUGAGAGGGUGACCGGCCACAUUGGGACUGAGAUACGGCCCAGACUCCUACGGGAGGCAGCAGUGGGGAAUAUUGCACAAUGGGCGAAAGCCUGAUGCAGCAACGCCGCGUGCGGGAUGACGGCCUUCGGGUCGUAAACCGCUUUCGCCUGUGACGAAGCGUGAGUGACGGUAAUGGGUAAAGAAGCACCGGCUAACUACGUG
rnacentral:rRNA from 1 species